UGGAAUUUGGACUGUAGUUUAUCCAGUACUUUCUGCUUAAAGCAGUUGACCAUUCGUUGUUUUAUGUUACAGGCUGCUUCACAUUGACUUCCUGCAAUCCAAGCACUGCAAAUCAAAAUAUGCAUGCAUAUGGAAUAACGCUUAUUGCAGCUCUGAGUACUCUGCUACUUAUUAUUUACAAUAGUUCUGACCAAGUUCUCACCACUAUAGAGAGGAGACUGGCCAAAUCCCGAGAAGCAGCAGCCAGAAGUAAAAUGGUCAGGCCUGGCUGCAUUAUUGCUGUCAUGGGUCCAUCAGGGGCCGGAAAAACAACUUUUGUUUCUGCCCUAGCAGGAAAAGCAAUCGGAUGCAAUAUGACUGGUUUAAUUCUUAUAAAUGGAAAGAAUAUAUCAAUCCAUUCAUAUAAGAAAAAUCAUAGGUUUUGUGCCACAAGAUGAUAUUGUGCAUGGAAACUUAAGGGUGGAAGAGAAUUUAUGGUUCAGUGCAAAGUGCAGCUAUGCCACAUACAGCUCUUUCCAUAUUCCACUCCAACAGAAAAUAUUCUAUUCACAUGUUAUCUGCGGACUUACCAGAACCGGAUAAAGUUUUAGUGGUUGAAAGAGUUAUUGAGUCCUUGGGGCUUCAGCAAGUGCGUGGUUCUUUGGUUGGAACAGUAGAGAAGCGAGGAAUUUCUGGAGGCCAGAGGAAACGUGUAAAUGUUGGCUUAGAAAUGGUUAUGGAACCUUCACUUUUGAUUCUGGAUGAACCCACAUCUGUUUAGACAGUGCCUCUUCUCAGCUGCUUCUUAGAGCACUUAGACGGGAAGCUCUUGAAGGGGUAAACAUCUGCAUGGUGGUUCACCAGCCUAGGUAACAUUUCCAAACAAGGUCUUUAUGCUUUGAAAAUUCACCAUCUUUCAAUGUGCAUUGCAUUCUUGUAUUCUUUGAUAUUUUUUGCUUGAAUAAUGUAUAGGAACAAAAGAAGGUCG